AGCUCGGGGGAGGUAAAACCUUCCAGUGUAUACAUAUUGGUAAUAACGUUUAAAUAUAUAUGUAUUUUUUAGAAAAACCAACUUGUGGGGGCCAAAGAAACCUGCUCUCAGGGCACCAGCUUUCAGUCUCUGAGUUUCUCCAUAAACAGAACCACAGAAACGCCAUUCGCCCCCCUGUGGGGGAGGAGAACAGGAGCUCAUGGUCUAAAUCAAAGGAAAAUGAUCAAGGCGCCCAAGUUGGAGGCAGACUCCUGUCGGCUGUCAAGCUGGGCAGGUCAACGUCUGCCAUACAGGUCCCGCAGACAGUGGACCAAAGGCGUGUGGAGGAGCAGGCCCACGUCCUGAUAUUCAGUUCUGUGCACGCAGGCGCCAGGAGCCUGGCACUGGGGGUGAGAAACUCGGGGAAGGGCUUCAGUUCCGUGGCAGUUGUGCACAGGUGCUCUGAGUCACUACAAGGAGCAAUGUUGCAGGACCAACUCCAGACCAGCCACCUGCUCCUGCAAGGUGAGAUGACCGAGGAAUGAGGAUCCUUCCUGAUUUGCAGAAACAAGGUGAUUGAUACGGUGACUUUAAUCACCAAGCAGCUUUAUCUAGAAGAACCACAAAUUGCUCCUCAGCUACUCAGAAAGAGAGGGGCUUGAUGGCCAUCUCUGAGGAUUAGCAACGUGGAGCAUCAGGACAGGUGAGGUGGUGGGGAGGUGGUCAGCAGAGACUCCAGUCCCCAGGGGGCUCCUGAGACACCUUAACUCUCGUAAACUUGUGCUCCUGGAUCUCCUGGGAGUCCUGUUUGAGUCUCUGCCCUUUUUAGUAUUUUUUGGCCACACCAUACAUCGUGUAGGACCUUAUUUCCUGGACCAGGGAUCAAACCCACGCCCCCUGCAGUGGAAGCUUGGAGUCUUACCCACUGAACCACCAGGUAAGCACCCUCCCGCCUGAGUCUCUGCCUUUUGAUAGGAGAGUGGAAGACAUUAACCUUUAUUGUACUGUUUGUUUAGACUUACUUGGCCAUCUUAUUUUAAUUCAUCAUGAUUUCAUUGUGUUACAUUUUUAAAUUGAUCAAAGUAUCUAUUUCAUUUCCCCCCCUCAACUGCUUUGAAAAUUAUGCCUUCUGUCUCUGUUUGCCUAAUGAAUAACUGUAUAUUUUCAACACACAUACUUAGUUUUCUAAUAAUGUUUAUUGUUUAACAGCAUCUCUGUUCCAGCCUGGUCUUUGCGAAAGCUGAUAAAUCCCCGAGGCAGGGAUUAGGGAGUGGGGGAGGGGCCCCAGCACUGUCUCUGUUUCUGCAUAUGACCUUUAUUUAUCCUUAGAGCUGCCUGGAAAG
rnacentral:lncRNA from 1 species